GUAAGGAAUAUUGGUCAAUGGACGCAAGUCUGAACCAGCCAUGCCGCGUGGAGGAUGAAGGUCCUCUGGAUUGUAAACUUCUUUUAUCUGGGACGAAAAAGGGCCUUUCUAGGUCAACUGACGGUACCAGAUGAAUAAGCACCGGCUAACUCCGUGCCAGCAGCCGCGGUAAUACGGAGGGUGCAAGCGUUAUCCGGAUUCACUGGGUUUAAAGGGUGCGUAGGCGGGCAUGUAAGUCCGUGGUGAAAUCUCCGAGCUUAACUCGGAAACUGCCAUGGAUACUAUGUGUCUUGAAUGUUGUGGAGGUGAGCGGAAUAUGUCAUGUAGCGGUGAAAUGCUUAGAUAUGACAUAGAACACCAAUUGCGAAGGCAGCUCACUACACAAAUAUUGACGCUGAGGCACGAAAGCGUGGGGAUCAAACAGGAUUAGAUACCCUAGUAGUCC
rnacentral:rRNA from 1 species